rnacentral:piRNA from 1 species
UCUCAUUGGUAGUGAGCAAGGCCUGAGG